rnacentral:rRNA from 1 species
GGAAAAGAAACCAACAGGGAUUGCCUUAGUAGCGGCGAGUGAAGCGGCAAAAGCUCAAAUUUGAAAUCUGGCACUUUCAGUGUCCGAGUUGUAAUUUGAAGAAGGUAUCUUUGGGUCUGGCUCUUGUCUAUGUUUCUUGGAACAGAACGUCACAGAGGGUGAGAAUCCCGUGCGAUGAGAUGUCCCAGACCUAUGUAAAGUUCCUUCGAAGAGUCGAGUUGUUUGGGAAUGCAGCUCUAAGUGGGUGGUAAAUUCCAUCUAAAGCUAAAUAUUGGCGAGAGACCGAUAGCGAACAAGUACAGUGAUGGAAAGAUGAAAAGAACUUUGAAAAGAGAGUGAAAAAGUACGUGAAAUUGUUGAAAGGGAAGGGCUUGAGAUCAGACUUGGUAUUUUGUAUGUUACUCUCUCGGGGGUGGCCUCUACAGUUUACCGGGCCAGCAUCAGUUUGAGCGGUAGGAUAAGUGCAAAGAAAUGUGGCACUGCUUCGGUAGUGUGUUAUAGUCUUUGUCGAUACUGCCAGCUUAGACUGAGGACUGCGGCUUCGGCCUAGGAUGUUGGCAUAAUGAUCUUAAGUCGCCCG